UACGUAGGGGGCAAGCGUUGUCCGGAAUCAUUGGGCGUAAAGCGCGUGUAGGCGGCCAGAAAAGUCCGCUGUGAAAACUCGAGGCUCAACUUCGAGCUGUCGGUGGAAACUUUCUGGCUAGAGUCCGGAAGAGGAGAAUGGAAUUCCUGGUGUAGCGGUGAAAUGCGCAGAUAUCAGGAAGAACACCCGUGGCGAAGGCGGUUCUCUGGGACGGUACUGACGCUGAGACGCGAAAGCUAGGGUAGCAAACGGG
rnacentral:rRNA from 1 species